AGUCUGACGGAGCAACGCCGCGUGAGUGAUGAAGGCUUUCGGGUCGUAAAACUCUGUUGUUAGGGAAGAACAAGUACGAGAGUAACUGCUCGUACCUUGACGGUACCUAACCAGAAAGCCACGGCUAACUACGUGCCAGCAGCCGCGGUAAUACGUAGGUGGCAAGCGUUAUCCGGAAUUAUUGGGCGUAAAGCGCGCGCAGGCGGUUUCUUAAGUCUGAUGUGAAAGCCCACGGCUCAACCGUGGAGGGUCAUUGGAAACUGGGGAACUUGAGUGCAGAAGAGAAAAGCGGAAUUCCACGUGUAGCGGUGAAAUGCGUAGAGAUGUGGAGGAACACCAGUGGCGAAGGCGGCUUUUUGGUCUGUAACUGACGCUGAGGCGCGAAAGCGUGGGGAGCAAACAGGAUUAGAUACCCUGGUAGUCCACGCCGUAAACGAUGAGUGCUAAGUGUUAGAGGGUUUCCGCCCUUUAGUGCUGCAGCUAACGCAUUAAGCACUCCGCCUGGGGAGUACGGUCGCAAGACUGAAACUCAAA
rnacentral:rRNA from 1 species